UUUGUGGAGAGUUUGAUCCUGGCUCAGGACGAACGCUGGCGGCAUGCCUAACACAUGCAAGUCGAACGGAGCACGGAUACUUCGGUGGAAGUGCUUAGUGGCGGACGGGUGAGUAACGCGUGGAUAACCUGCCUGAGAGUGGGGGAUAACAGCCCGAAAGGGCUGCUAAUACCGCAUAAUGUUGUCUGGGGACAUCCCCGGACAACCAAAGGAGCAAUCCGCUCUUGGAUGGGUCCGCGUCCGAUUAGCUAGUUGGUGAGGUAA
rnacentral:rRNA from 1 species